GAUGAACGCUGGCGGCGUGCUUAACACAUGCAAGUCGAACGAUGAAGCCCAGCUUGCUGGGUGGAUUAGUGGCGAACGGGCGAGUAACACGUGAGUAACCUGCCCUUAACUCUGGGAUAAGCCUGGGAAACUGGGUCUAAUACCGGAUAGGAGCGCCUACCGCAUGGUGGGUGUUGGAAAGAUUUAUCGGUUUUGGAUGGACUCGCGGCCUAUCAGCUUGUUGGUGAGGUAGUGGCUCACCAAGGCGACGACGGGUAGCCGGCCUGAGAGGGUGAACGGCCACACUGGGCCUGAGACACGGCCCAGACUCCAACGGGAGGCAGCAGUGGGGAAUCUUGCACAAUGGGCGAAAGCCUGAUGCAGCGACGCCGCGUGCGGGAUGACGGCCUUCGGGUUGUAAACCUCUUUCAGUAGGGAAGAAGCGAAAGUGACGGUACCUGAAGAAGAAGCACCGGCUAACUACGUG
rnacentral:rRNA from 1 species